UCCGUGGUGCGUUUUCACCUGACAGACAGACAACGGUGAGGCGGGAAGUUUGAGCAGAGCGCAGGCAGAGAAACUACAUUAAGGUACGUAUUUUUAUCUAUUUAUUUAUUACAUUUGACCUAAAUCUUGUACAAUAUUAAAAAAAGAUCAGCUGAUUUAAGUUAUUGACAUAAGCAUAGUAGAAACUUUGGUAAUGUUAGUGUAUCCGGAGUGUUGACGUUAGCUAACCUUCCUUUUCCUUUUUCCUUAGUGUUUUGAUAGCACUUAACGCUAGUUUCCCUCGACCUCACUUACACAUAUGGAUAUGAAUAACAGAGAGAACACAAGGAGAUGGCAAUAAAGCACUUGUUAAACUAAUUUUAGUUUGGGUCCUGGGGCGCUACAACUUUAGCAAUAUGAAGGAAAACAAAAGAUCCACCAUCUCUGACAUAACCUUACAGACGCUGCAAACUGUCCUCUUCAUUUCCCACAGAUGUGCUGUCCAUUCUGUGCAUCGAUGGUAACAGGUUCCUCGGCCUUUUGUUGUGUAUGUGGGAGAAAUAUUUCAUUUCUAAAAGAUGCUGCAAACACUCCUGCCGAGAUGCCCACGGGCAGUGGACAUCCCAAUGCACAGCCAAGCGCCAGUACAGAUUUAUGUAGGAUUAAUGAAGAUGAAUGGCGACUCCUUGAAGCCUGUUAGAGGAAAGUCACUUCCGCUUGACAUCCAACCUGAGUGGUCGUCUGAACAGCUGCUGGCUGCUGCCACAAGGAAACUGAAAGAUUUUAACCAGGACAUGGAAGAUGCUCCCCACGUUUUGUUGUACCCUGAUGCCCUGAGGAAGUUACAAACAUCCCAGGAGCAGACAUCCCUUUCAACAUGCAGAAAUACAAGGAGGCAGUUGGAAAGGCCUACCAGAGGAUAACAAU